UGGGGAAUAUUGCACAAUGGGCGCAAGCCUGAUGCAGCGACGCCGCGUGCGGGAUGACGGCCUUAGGGUUGUAAACCGCUUUCAGCAGGGACGAAAUUGACGGUACCUGCAGAAGAAGCCCCGGCCAACUACGUGCCAGCAGCCGCGGUAAUACGUAGGGGGCAAGCGUUGUCCGGAUUUAUUGGGCGUAAAGAGCUCGUAGGCGGUCUGGUAAGUCGGAUGUGAAAUCUCCCCGCUUAACGUGGAGGG
rnacentral:rRNA from 1 species